GAUGAACGCUGGCGGCGUGCUUAACACAUGCAAGUCGAGCGAAGCAUUUUAAAGGAAGUUUUCGGAUGGGAUUUAAAAUGACUGAGCGGCGGACGGGUGAGUAACGCGUGGGUAACCUGCCUCAUACAGGGGGAUAACAGUUAGAAAUGACUGCUAAUACCGCAUAAGCGCACAGUGCUGCAUAGCACAGUGUGAAAAACUCCGGUGGUAUGAGAUGGACCCGCGUCUGAUUAGGUAGUUGGUGAGGUAACGGCCCACCAAGCCGACGAUCAGUAGCCGACCUGAGAGGGUGACCGGCCACAUUGGGACUGAGACACGGCCCAAACUCCUACGGGAGGCAGCAGUGUGGAAUAUUGGACAAUGGGGGAAACCCUGAUCCAGCGACGCCGCGUGAGUGAAGAAGUGUUUCGGCAUGUAAAGCUCUAUCAGCAGGGAAGAAAAUGACGGUACCUGACUAAGAAGCCCCGGCUAACUACGUGCCAGCAGCCGCAGUAA
rnacentral:rRNA from 1 species